GGAUGGAAGGAGCUGCAACGUCCCUGGGGGGGAAGGGGGCUUGGGGGGAUACCAGGCAUGGGGUGGGUGUGCAGGGAUGAGAAAGUCGGUUGGAGGGGAGGGGGCCAUAUCCAGAUGCCUCCCCCCUCUCCUACAAGGCCUGGGGCCUUCCCCAGGUAAAAUCCCCACAUUUUAUUAUUUAGUUAUUGAAUGAUUGAUUUGUUUAUUUAUCUUAUAAAAGACAGUUCACAGCGAUGGGCGAGAUCUGCAAGAACUGAAAUAAUUAAAAAACAAACAGACAACCUUUUAAAAUGCAGGAGACCUCAAAGUGACCCUAGAGAAGGUGACCGAAGAAGACGGACCCCUUGGCACCAGAGUAACCGGAUGGGGAACCUGCUCAGGUUUGGAUAAGGCCCACGGAUACCUUAAACGGGCUGACAUGUUCUCAAGGAAGACUGUGUUCAGAAGACCCUAAGGCAGGUCUUCAAAGGUGAAGAAAAUAUUCCCUGUGCUUGAAAGAAAGACUCCAGCAUGUUUGCCCUUGGUAAGUAUCAUCAGUACCUCCACACGGUCUUUUGCAGAAGCAAGAAACGAGGAACCCCCUCACUGGCUUUGUAGUGGAAGUGAUUUCCCAUUAUCUCCAAGUCUCUUUCAUCGGCUCGCUUUGAUUCCCACACUUUCCUUUUUUUCCCUGUUGUUUCCGAUCUCAACAGACAUAAAUAGGGUCUCGGGUCCAGGCAAAUACAAUACUGAACGGUGCUCGUUAUCACUUUUUAUCCACAACUGAGACCGUUGACAUGUGUCUGAAGUGACUGCCAGCCCAUCCUGACCAAGAGUACUUGAGCCUUUUGGGUGCAGAGUCAGACCUGUACUUGCUUACUGAUAACCCUCCAAUCUCAAGUAACUAAUAACGCACAACAGGCCACAAAACAUUAAUGCACACAUGAGCACUAAACCCUGCCCGCAGGCCCUUUAAUUAAGUCCAUGAAAGCUUACAUUAAAACCUAAUGGUUAGUCUUUAAGGUAUCACGUGUUUUCCUUUCUCUCUUUUGUCUUGUCUUGUUUUGGGUUUUUUUGGAUUUUGCCUGAUACCCUUUUAAUUAUUUUACUGCACACAUUUGGUCUUUAUAGCACCCCUCCCUUCCCCUUUUCUUUGUUCUUAUUCUGUAUUCUAAUUUCUUUCUCUUGUAGGAAUUUUUACCAAACAGACUUCAGAAGAACGGCUCACUUAAACACUGGUCCUGAAUUACUGCACGUAGGAGAUGCAACCAUUCACCUCUGACAAAAGCUCACCUUAAAAUACACAAGUUUUUGUCUUUUGGUCUUAUUAUUAUUAUUAAUAAUAAGUGAGUGACUGUGUCUGGGAGAAUUUCUGGCCUGCACUCCCUCGGCCUUUUCAGGACUGGGACCC
rnacentral:lncRNA from 1 species